AUACGUAGGGGGCGAGCGUUGUCCGGAAUGAUUGGGCGUAAAGGGCGCGUAGGCGGCCCGGUAAGUCUGGAGUGAAAGUCCUGUUUUUAAGAUGGGAAUUGCUUUGGAUACUGUCGGGCUUGAGUGCAGGAGAGGUAAGCGGAAUUCCCAGUGUAGCGGUGAAAUGCGUAGAGAUUGGGAGGAACACCAGUGGCGAAGGCGACUUACUGGACUGUAACUGACGCUGAGGCGCGAAAGUGUGGGGAGCAAACAGGAUUAGAUACCCUGGUAGUCCACACUGUAAACGAUGAAUGCUAGGUGUAGGGGGUAUCGACCCCUUCUGUGCCGCAGUCAACACAAUAAGCAUUCCGCCUGGGGAGUACGGCCGCAAGGUUGAAACUCAAAUGAAUUGACGGGG
rnacentral:rRNA from 1 species